GUAACAUUGGCUUUACCUAUUGGCUUUAUUGUCAAGGUCAUCUCAUCGGAGGUUUGGAUGAAAGAUGUGGUUCGAAAUCUUACCGAGUGGUGUAAUUUUCACCGGACUGUUGUUGUCUUCACCUAUUGUACCCCCAAUCGUAGCAUGGAUCUUCCGCAAAGAUAGAAAGUAUACUCAGAGGUACUUUCAUGCAGAUGAAGUUGACUACAGGAUGUAUGUGCGCGACAUCUAUAAAUUUGGCUCUGUGUACAAACCAAAGGGUCUAGAGGCUCUGGAUGAAUAGGAUGUGACACUGAAGGCAGUCUCUGUGAUGUUUUGUGCAAACAUUUGUUUAAUAACUGGUUUUAUGGGAUGCAUAGAGAAGUGGCAUUAUUACAGGGUGGCAAAAUGAUACAAUUUUGACACUCCAUACAAGAAAUCACCCUGUAAAUGUGUUAAAAACCGACCGAUAUCUUUUUUAUUAAACUUGUCAUAUAACUUUUUGGAUGGAGAAAGAACAUCAGUACCGGCAUAUUUAUCAAAACUUUCAUUACAAAAGGACAUAACUUUGAAUGCCUUCUGAUUGAUCAUGGAGGCUGUCAGUGGAUUCUGUCAUAUCAUGACUGACAAUCCACAACUGAUGAAUUCACCAAGACCAGUUGACUUACUUUCUUUAGGCAUCGGCUCAGUAUUAAUUCAAAGGAAAACCUGAACUUGAAGACAAAAAGUUUGUUGUAUGAUAAAUAAAAUGGUACUAUUUAAUGAUGAA